UUUUCUUGUAUUUGAUAUGAAAUAUGACCUGCCCACUGAAGUUGAUUGAAGGGCCGCGGUAUUUUGACCGUGCAAAGGUAGCAUAAUCAUUAGUCUUUUAAUUGUGGACUGGAAUGAAUGGUUGGACGAGGAAUAGACUGUUUCUUAUUAUUUUUAUUGAAUUUAAUUUUUAAGUUAAAAAGCUUAAAUUUAUUUAUGGGACGAGAAGACCCUAUAGAGUUUAUAUAUAUUAUUUAUUUAUUUUGUUUGAUUUUUAUUUUUAAAUAUUUAAUAUAUUUUGUUGGGGUGAUGGGAAGAUUUAAUUAACUCUUCUUUUUUUAUAUACAUUUAUUUAUGAGUGGUUGAUCCAAUUUUGUUGAUUAUAAGAUUAAAUUACCUUAGGGAUAACAGCGUAA
rnacentral:rRNA from 1 species